rnacentral:rRNA from 1 species
AGGCAGCAGUUAGGAAUCUUCCGCAAUGGGCGAAAGCCUGACGGAGCAACGCCGCGUGAGUGAUGAAGGCCUUCGGAUCGUAAAACUCUGUUAUUAGGGAAGAACAUACGUGUAAGUAACUAUGCACGUCUUGACGGUACCUAAUCAGAAAGCCACGGCUAACUACGUGCCAGCAGCCGCGGUAAUACGUAGGUGGCAAGCGUUAUCCGGAAUUAUUGGGCGUAAAGCGCGCGUAGGCGGUUUUUUAAGUCUGAUGUGAAAGCCCACGGCUCAACCGUGGAGGGUCAUUGGAAACUGGAACACUUGAGUGCAGAAGAGGAAAGUGGAAUUCCAUGUGUAGCGGUGAAAUGCGCAGAGAUAUGGAGGAACACCAGUGGCGAAGGCGACUUUCUGGUCUGUAACUGACGCUGAUGUGCGAAAGCGUGGGGAUCAAACAGGAUUAGAUACCCCAGUAGUCC